UCCUUUUGGUUUUAUUUAAGGUCAGACCUGCCCAAUGAUUGAUUGAAUGGCCGCAGUAUACUAACUGUGCAAAGGUAGCAUAAUAAUUUGUCCUUUGAUUGAGGACUCGUAUGAAUGGUUAGAUGAGGAAUAUACUUUCUUUGUUUUAAUUUGAAGAACUUUAUCUUUCUGUCAAAAAGCAGAGAUGUACUUAUAAGACGACAAGACCCUAUAGAGCUUUAUUUUGAGUUUAGAUUUUAAUUCUUAGAUACAUAAAUAUUAUUUCUAAAUUGUGGAAUUUUAUUGGGGUGAUAGGUAUAUUUAUUUAACUAUAUUUGACUUUUCUCAUAGAUGAAUGAUUAAUAAGAUCCGCUUUUAGCGAUCAGAAGAUUAAGUUACCUUAGGGAUAACAGCGUAAUUCUAUUGGAGAGUUCUUAUUGAUAGUGGAGUUUGCGACCUCGAUGUUGGAUUAAAAUAAGUAUUUGGCGUAGAAGCCAUAUAACUAGGUCUGUUCGACCUUUGAUAUUUUACGUGAUCUGAGU
rnacentral:rRNA from 1 species